rnacentral:rRNA from 1 species
UUGCAGGCUGCAACUCGCCUGCAUGAAGUCGGAAUUGCUAGUAAUCGUAGGUCAGCAUACUACGGUGAAUACGUUCCCGGGCCUUGUACACACCGCCCGUCAAACCAUGAGAGUUGGCAACACCCGAAGUCGGUAGUCUAACCGCAAGGAGGACGCUGCCGAAGGUGGGAUUAGCGACUGGGGUGAAGUCGUAACAAGGUAGC